ACAAAUUUAAUUAGCAUUUACUAGAGAAUGUUUAAAUAAUUUUAGGAAAAAAAGAUGUUAAAAAUACUUUGACCGGCGCCGGAGCUGCUUGAUAUUAUAGAAGCUAGUGCGAACGGAAUACUGAAUGUAAUCUAUAAAAAGUUUCA
rnacentral:sRNA from 1 species